rnacentral:piRNA from 1 species
UCUAUGUUUGGGGGCUUACUCAGUAAUUC